UCCACCCUUUCCAAUUUGAUCUUCUCAACCACACUUUUACAAUCGGAUUGUAUAAUUAUGUCCCUCCACCCACUCUUCAUGGCUAUGGACAUACCAUUCCUAAUAGCUCGAGCUUCCUCCACCGCAGGAUCCCCACACCUUUGUUCACUCCCUGCCCAGGCUCUUAGUAGCUUACCCCUGCUACAUCUGGCUACCACACCCCAACCAAUUUUGCCAUCCUUAUGACUCAACGCGGCAUCAGUGUUCAGACAAAUGAAGUGUUGGGGUGGCGGUGACCACUUCCUAGCUCCAUAGACUUCCUCCUGUCCAUCAUACUCCUACCCAUCCACUUUAUUGAAUACCUCAGCAUAUUCCCGCGACUCCUGCAUAGCUUUACCCACCACAAUUCUAGGACAUUUCCGAUCAUUAUUAAACUGAAUUUGAUUUCUGGAUUUUCAAAUCUGCCACAGUAUAUUAACCAUCAGUUCAAUAUGGGUCCUACCCUCCGUUCUUGCCUUAGCCACCAAAGUAGUCCACCAAUGCCAAAAAUUAUUCCUAUAAAUGUUGAGACCGUCCCAACAGAUGGGAGCUGCCUUCCAGAUUUGCUCUGC
rnacentral:lncRNA from 1 species